rnacentral:rRNA from 1 species
UACGGAAGGCAGCAGUGGGGAAUAUUGCACAAUGGGCGCAAGCCUGAUGCAGCCAUGCCGCGUGUAUGAAGAAGGCCUUCGGGUUGUAAAGUACUUUCAGCGGGGAGGAAGGCGAUGCGGUUAAUAACCGCGUCGAUUGACGUUACCCGCAGAAGAAGCACCGGCUAACUCCGUGCCAGCAGCCGCGGUAAUACGGAGGGUGCAAGCGUUAAUCGGAAUUACUGGGCGUAAAGCGCACGCAGGCGGUCUGUUAAGUCAGAUGUGAAAUCCCCGGGCUUAACCUGGGAACUGCAUUUUGAAACUGGCAGGCUUGAGUCUUGUAGAGGGGGUAGAAUUCCAGGUGUAGCGGUGAAAUGCGUAGAGAUCUGGAGGAAUACCGGUGGCGAAGGCGGCCCCUGGACAAGACUGACGCUCAGGUGCGAAAGCGUGGGGAGCAAACGAGGAUUAGAUACC